rnacentral:lncRNA from 1 species
UUAGAAAAGAUAAAGUGUCUAGGAGCAAAAACCUAGACAACAAUAUGUGAAAUCAUAAUAAAAUUCUGAAAAUUUUCAUAAACCCAAUGAAGGUGGUUCAUGGGUUUUGUGAGAUAAUGACAAACACUAGAAUGAUAGUGGAUUUUAGAAGAUAAAGUUCAUGUAAAAUAGUUGAUUUAUGAAGAAUUAAGGCUAUAUGAUAAGUUGAGAACUUGCUAAGUAAUCGUGUAAAAUUCUGCCCUUAAAGUGUUUGUUGAAAUGCCUCAAAGAAGGCUCGAAAUUUAAAUUUGAAGUUAGACGCAUGAUUGUGAUGAUUUGACAAAAUUAUGCGAUAUAUGGUUAAAAAGGAGUUCUAAACAAGUCGUGAUUGAACUCUAUAGGAAAAGAUACCGGAGCGUCGAGUGGACAAGCCGGUGGUGAUUCGCGUUGAAGGGCGUGCACUAAAGGUACGUAACUUCGGUUUCGUUACAUUAUGCGUAAACAAUAGUCUUAGAAAUGUUAAUGAAAUUGUAGUGUCAAUUGCGAGUUUGGUAUGUCUUAGAAGUGACGAAGUUCACCCGACAAACCAAACGGGUCAAAUUAGUUAACUAGAAAUGUUGGUUGAUAAUAUUGUUCAAUUAGUCAUGUAUGGAAAGUAGAUAAAACGAUGUAACUCACUAGAUAAAGAAACAAGUUGAAAAUAAAGGUUGAAAUGGUAGUGCUCGAAGUGACUUAAACGUCACUUAUUAAAGUUGAGUUAUGAGAGCGUAAACCAUGGAAUGGACGUGGUACGCUAAGAUUGACAAGCCCGGGAAUGGGUAAUUAUGGUUAGAAAUCAAUGUUGAUAAAUUAUGUAAGUAUGUAACUUGAUUCGUUACAUUAAACGAAUCGUUGUUAAAUCAUGCGUAGUCGCGCUUUAGAAUAGGAAUUGUGUUGAUUGUACGUGACUUUAGUCUCGUUAAAUUGUGUAUAAUAGUUUGAGUUUAAUGUAUAGAUGGAAAUGAACUGUGAAGGAUGCGUUUGAUGCAUUCUAAAGUGGCGUAGUUCAUUUGAACAUCAAACGGGUCAAUAUAAAGAUUUGGGAAGGGGUUUGACUUGUUAAUAAAGUGAUGGUUUCGCUAGAUAGUCAAACGGGUCGAAUAAUGGUGUAAAUUGUAGCGUUGAUGUCCAAUUACUUAGCAAAAGCGACAUCAAGCGCAAGAGUAAUAAACCAUGGAAUUUGGUAAGGAAAUGCGAGUGGUGUAAAGCCCCGGAUGUUGGGUGAAAAACGCCUCAAGGUUGCUAGUGUUUGGUAGCAAAGUCGUGUACUAUAAUGGGUCGAAUAUCCAAAUAGAGCUUUUAGUGACAAAGUCCAUAAACCAAAUUUUCGGGAAAAUAAUUUUAGUAGACAUGUCGGUAAUUUAAAUAUGGUCGUGUAGGAAAAAGAAUCACUAAAAACGGACUUACGGAUCAUAAGUUAUGGUGUUUUUAAGUUAGGAUUGAAAAUACUUGAGCUGGGUAUGUACAGCACCAGCAAAAAUGAACAGUCUGUGAAAAACAGGGCUUGGCGUGACGCCAAGCCCCUUAGCGUCACGCGACGCCUCCUGAUCCGGGAAAUUUUAUUUUCUUGAUUGUUUAACCAUUAGAACUUGGUUAUACCCAUUGUAGCUUCAAUUAAACUAAUAUUUGUUGUGGUUUUGACCUUAGGUGAAUGUUGGAACUAACCGGAAGACGAUCGAGCUAGCUUUUGAGGAACCGAACACUAUCCACAAGCUUCCGCAUUAGUUUAAUUCUUAUUAGACUAUGUUUAUGGAUUGUACACAAUUAACCAUCAACUUUUGAAUGUUUUAAAUUAGUCUUUAGUUGACUAAGCUUUUCGCUACUUGGGAACUUGAUGUAUGAUAUCUAUGUUAUCUAAAUAUGUUUUAUUUAAAACGUUUUGGAAUUAUUAUUAUUAUAUUCAAGAAAAUUAGACGGGUGUUACAUUAAAUAAGGAAAGGAGGACCAUGGUUGCCAUGAUUUAAUCCAUGGGAAUCAUGGUGGAUGAGACAAGGGGGUGGUCUAGCAAUCCAUUAAUGGUCCUACGUGUCGAUUGAUGACCCAGCCAUGUCCCUCAUACCCUGUAGCCUUAGAUAAGGUUUAAGCUGAAAUAUAUCACCCAUGCUCGAAUUCGAAAAAUAAAUUAUUUUAAUAAAGUUUGAAAGGAUAUUCACACUUGGAUGACCAUAGUUCACCCUAAGUGACCUUUAACGACUAUAAUUACAUAUGGAUGACCCUAAUUUACCAUCAUUAGACGUAAUUAACCCUAAAGUAUCGUCAUUGGACCUAAUUAAACACCAUUGUCCCUAUUUGAACAACCAAUCAUCCUUUGACCUUCAAUGACUAUAAUUGAGCAUAAACGACUCAUAAACUAAUUGACCAUAAAGUGUCAUCAUUGGGUCUAUUUGAAUAUCAUUGACACAUGUUGAUCAUCAAUCACCCUAAGACCACCCGUAGUGGCUGCCCAAAUGGGCGUUUUUUUUGUGCUCAAUCACGCCCAAUCUCGCCGACUAGCCGCUACGCAUGGGCGUGUUUGGCCUUUUUUUGUUAUGGCGUGUUAUAAAUCACGCUGGUGGGGGAAUUUCUUGGCCAAUCACAUUUGAGCUUCCAUUUUUUGGCCAAUAAGAUUUUUUAAAUGUUUUUUUAUUUUAUUUUAGUACAAACAUAAUGCCGUACAAUCCCUACAUCCCCACUACACCCCUUUUGUAAAAACGCUUAAUAAUCCCUCAUUGCUGACUGGGCUGCCACAUGGCGCAAAACGCCCUAGGGUGGG